rnacentral:lncRNA from 1 species
CAUGAAACAUGGCCAAUGGGAAUCAUGGAAGACCUCUCGGUGCAUAUGGUAGAACUGAACUUUGUUCUACUGAAAUUGCUCAUUGCCAUGUGAUUUGCUUUGGCGAAUGAAAUGAAACUGAAGGUGAUGUGUGGACUCUUCUUGGGGGAGGCAUUUCAUUGCCAGUGACAGAGAUGAAGUCUCACCAUAUUGCCCAGGCUGGUUUCAAACUCUUGGACUUAAGCAAUCCUCCCACCUCGCCUCCCAAAGUGCCAGGAACACACUUAUGUCUCUUACAGCCAUGGAAACAAUGAACUGCUAACAUGUGUUUUUAGAAAGAAUGUGGAAGUAUGGGAACCUCUUCCUUUAUGUGGUAAUUGAGGACUAGGCCAGGCACAGUGGCUCACACCUGUAAUCCCAGCACUUUGGGAGGCUGAGAAAGGCAGAUCACUUGAGGUCAUGAGUUCGAGACCAGCCUGGCCAACGUGGUGAAACCCAGUCUCAACUAAAAAUACAAAAAAUUAGCUGGGCUUGGUGGCGCAUGCCUGUAAUCCCAGCUACUUGGGAGGCUGAGGCAGGAGAAUCACUUGAGCCUGGGUGGUGGAGGUUGCAAUGAGCUGAGAUCGCGUCACUGCACUUCAGCCUGGACAACAGAAUGAGACCCUGUCUCAAAACAACAACAACUACUACUAUUGUUUUUAUACUG